CCGGUUACCUGCUUUACCCGGAACCUAGUCCCUCAUGCAAUUUACAAAUUUCACAAUAUAAAUCCAUGCAAAAUUUUCCAUAAUUUCAUCACUGUCCAACUUGCCCCUUAAUAGUAACACUAGAGAAAAUUUUCAAUUGUUAAUUUUCUGGUAAAAUGCCGAUCAACCAAAUUACUAUUGGAAGCCAUGAGGAACUCCGCCAUCCAGGGGCGCUUAAAGCGGCCUUGGCGGAGUUCAUCAGUACUCUGAUCUUCGUUUUCGCAGGUCAGGGUUCUGGUAUGGCUUUCAAUAAGCUUACCGACGGUGUCGCUACUCCCGCUGGCCUUAUUUCCGCCUCCAUUGCGCACGCCUUCGGGUUGUUCGUGGCCGUCUCUGUCGGUGCUAACAUCUCCGGCGGCCACGUCAACCCGGCUGUUACCUUCGGUGCUUUUGUUGGUGGAAACAUCACUUUGUUCCGUGGGAUUUUGUACAUCAUUGCACAGUUGCUUGGAUCCACUGCUGCUUGCGCUCUCCUUGAAUUCGCCACUGGUGGCAUGAGCACUGGAUCAUUUGCAUUGUCAGCCGGUGUAUCAGUAUGGAACGCAUUUGUAUUCGAGAUAGUGAUGACGUUCGGUCUCGUUUACACUGUUUACGCAACUGCAGUUGACCCAAAGAAGGGAGAUUUGGGAGUGAUUGCACCAAUUGCAAUUGGUUUCAUUGUUGGUGCCAACAUUCUAGCUGGUGGAGCCUUUACUGGAGCUUCAAUGAACCCAGCUGUGUCAUUUGGCCCAUCUUUGGUUAGCUGGACCUGGACUCACCAAUGGGUUUACUGGGCUGGACCACUUAUUGGUGGUGGGCUUGCUGGAUUUAUCUAUGAAUUCAUCUUCAUUAGCCACACUCAUGAGCAAAUCCCAAGUGGAGAUUUUUAAGUAAUGUGACAUUUUAUCAACUUGUUGUUUAAUUUUAAUUUUCUCUUUGUAAACUUCUUUGUUUUUUUGUCUAUGUUUAAUAUAUUAGGGCUUUCCAGCAUUCCAGGAUAAUCAUCAACAGUUAUCAUGCCUUCUGAUUUCAUGAUUUUAUGUUCUAUUGCUUAUUCACAUUUUAAUGUUGUGUUUUGUCAUAGUCACUAGCCAAAGAGCUCGUGAGAUCUAAAAGAACUGUGAACCGAUUGUACGAGAACAAGGC